GAUGAACGCUGGCGGCGUGCCUAAUACAUGCAAGUCGAACGCUUCAUUUCGGUGAAGAGUGGCGAACGGGUGAGUAAUACAUAAGUAACCUGGCAUCUACAGGGGGAUAACUGAUGGAAACGUCGGCUAAGACCGCAUAGGUGUAGAGAUCGCAUGAACUCUAUAUGAAAAGUGCUACGGGACUGGUAGAUGAUGGACUUAUGGCGCAUUAGCUGGUUGGUAGGGUAACGGCCUACCAAGGCGACGAUGCGUAGCCGACCUGAGAGGGUGACCGGCCACACUGGGACUGAGACACGGCCCAGACUCCUACGGGAGGCAGCAGUAGGGAAUUUUCGGCAAUGGGGGAAACCCUGACCGAGCAACGCCGCGUGAAGGAAGAAGUAAUUCGUUAUGUAAACUUCUGUCAUAGAGGAAGAACGGUGGAUAUAGGCAAUGAUAUCCAAGUGACGGUACUCUAUAAGAAAGCCACGGCUAACUACGUGCCAGCCGCCGCAGUAA
rnacentral:rRNA from 1 species